CAGUAGCCGCGGUAAUACGUAGGUGGCAAGCGUUGUCCGGAAUUAGUGGGCGUAAGGCGCGCGCAGGUGGUUUAAUAAGUCUGAUGUGAAAGCCCACGGCCCAACCGUGGAGGGUCAUUGGAAACUGUUAAACUUGAGUGUAGGAGAGAAAAGUGGAAUUCCUAGUGUAGCGGUGAAAUGCGUAGAGAUUAGGAGGAACACCAGUGGCGAAGGCGGCUUUUUGGCCUGUAACUGACACUGAGGCGCGAAAGCGUGGGGAGCAAACGGGAUUAGAGACCCCUGUAGUCCCUGUCUCUUAUCC
rnacentral:rRNA from 1 species